AUCCAGAUAACUUUGAAAACACCAUUUCUCGGACGAUCAUCGAAGUUAAGCAACGUCAAGCCUGGUCAGUACAUAGAUGGGUGACUGCUUGGGAAUAUCAGGCGUUGUGU